ACGGGUGUGGCCGAGUGGUUAAGGCGGCAGACUUAAGCUUUCAUGCUGAGGAUUCUGCUACUAUUAUAGUGCGCGGGUUCGAACCCCGUCGCCCGUA